rnacentral:rRNA from 1 species
AACGAACGCUGGCGGCAUGCCUAACACAUGCAAGUCGAACGAGACCUUCCUGUCUUGUUGCGCACCUCUACUUACCACGUGGUAACCUGCACUUAGGUUCGCAAUCCCUCCCUUAAAGGUAUCCUCAUACCGCAUUAUCUCUUCGGACAAAAGAUUUAUCGCCUUUUGAUGGGCCCGCGUUGGAUUCGCUAGUUGGUAGUGUAAAAGCCUACCAAGGCGAGGAUCCAUAGCUGGUCUGAGAGGAUGAUCAGCCACACUGGCCAUGAGACACGGCCCAGACUCCGACGGGAGGGAGCAGAGGGGAGUAUUGGACGAUGGGCGAAAGCGUGAUCAAGCAAUGCCGGGGGAGUGAGGAAGGCGUUAGGGAAGUAAAGCUGUUUUAGACGGGAUGAUAAUGACAGUACCGGGAGAAGAAGCUCCGGCUAACUCCGUG